rnacentral:rRNA from 1 species
CCUACGGGAGGCAGCAGUGGGGGAUAUUGCACAAUGGGGGAAACCCUGAUGCAGCGACGCCGCGUGAGUGAAGAAGUAUUUCGGUAUGUAAAGCUCUAUCAGCAGGGAAGAAAAUGACAGUACCUGACCAAGAAGCCCCGGCUAACUACGUGACAGCAGCCGCGGUAAUACGUAGGGGGCAAGCGUUAUCCGGAUUUACUGGGUGUAACGGGAGCGUAGACGGUUAUGUAAGUCUGGAGUGAAAGCCCGGGGCCCAACCCCGGGACUGCUUUGGAAACUGUGUAACUGGAGUACAGGAGGGGCAGGCGGAAUUCCUGGUGUAGCGGUGAAAGGCGUAGAUAUCAGGAGGAACACCGGCGGCGAAGGCGGCCUGCUGGACUGAAACUGACGUUGAGGCGCGAAAGCGUGGGGAGCAAACAGGAUUAGAUACCCGUGUAGUC